rnacentral:rRNA from 1 species
UACGUAGGCAGCGAGCGUUGUUCGGAGUUACUGGGCGUAAAGGGUGUGUAGGCGGUUGUUUAAGUUUGGUGUGAAAUCUCCCGGCUCAACUGGGAGGGUGCGCCGAAUACUGAAUGACUAGAGUGCGGGAGAGGAUAGUGGAAUUCCUGGUGUAGCGGUGAAAUGCGUAGAUAUCAGGAGGAACACCGGUGGUGUAGACGGCUAUCCGGACCGUAACUGACGCUGAGGCACGAAAGCGUGGGUAGCAAACAGG